CAAUGCUCUUCCAACUGAGCUACGCGGUCAGGACGGUUCGAGCAAGUGAUAUUACCGCGUAGCUCAGUUGGAAGAGCAUUGGC
rnacentral:miRNA from 1 species